rnacentral:piRNA from 1 species
UCCUCUAUCAGAAGACAUCUCGCCUAAUAAU